GACGAACGCUGGCGGCGUGCUUAACACAUGCAAGUCGAACGGAAAGGCCCUGCUUUUGUGGGGUGCUCGAGUGGCGAACGGGUGAGUAACACGUGAGUAACCUGCCCUUGACUUUGGGAUAACUUCAGGAAACUGGGGCUAAUACCGGAUAGGAGCUCCUGCUGCAUGGUGGGGGUUGGAAAGUCGCGGCGGGUGGGGAUGGACUCGCGGCUGAUCAGCUUGUUAGUGGGGUAGUGGCUUACCAAGGCUUUGACGGGUAGCCGGCAUGAGAGCGUGACCGGCGACAAGGGGCCUGCGAUACGGCGCAGACUCCUACGGGGGGCAGCAGUGGGGAAUAUUGCACAAUGGGCGGAAGCCUGAUGCAGAGACGCCGCGUGCGGGAUGACGGCCUUCGGGUUGUAAACCGCUUUAGCCUGUGACGAAGCGUGAGUGACGGUAAUGGGUAAAGAAGCACCGGCUAACUACGUG
rnacentral:rRNA from 1 species